AAUCAACGCUGGCGGCGUGCCUAACACAUGCAAGUCGAACGAGAAAGUGACUUCGGUCACUGGAUAGUGGCGUCCGGGUGAGUAACACGUAGGUAAUCUACCUUCGGGUGGGGAAUAACUCGCCGAAAGGCGAGCUAAUACCGCAUAAUGCAGCGGCACCUAAUGGUGAUUAGUUGUUAAAGCGGGGGAUCUUCGGACCUCGCGCCUGAAGAGGAGCCUGCGGCAGAUAGCUAGUUGGUGAGGUAAUGGCUCACCAAGGCUUCGAUCUGUAGCUGGUCUGAGAGGACGGCCAGCCACACUGGCACUGACACACGGGCCAGACUCCUACGGGAGGCAGCAGUGGGGAAUUUUGGGCAAUGGGCGAAAGCCUGACCCAGCAACGCCGCGUGAAGGAGGAAAUCCUUCGGGAUGUAACUUCAUAAGUAAGGGAAGAAAGCUGCGGAUUGAAUAAAUCCGCAGUCCGACGGUACCUUACGUAAG
rnacentral:rRNA from 1 species